rnacentral:rRNA from 1 species
AUUGAACGCUGGCGGCAGGCUUAACACAUGCAAGUCGAGCGGAAGAAGGGAGCUUGCUCCCGGAUUCAGCGGCGGACGGGUGUGUAAUGCCUAGGAAUCUGCCUCGUAAUGGGGGAUAACGUCCGGAAACGGGCGCUAAUACCGCAAACGCCCUGCGGGAGAAACUGGGUGAUAUUCAGACCUCACGCUAACAGCUGAGCCUAGGUCGGGUUAGCUAGGUAGUGGGGUAAAGGCAUAGCAAGGCGACGAACCGUAACAGAGCUGAGUGUAUGAUAAGUCACACUUGAACAGAGACACGGUCCAGACUCUUACGAGAAGCAGGAGUGGGAAAUCAUGGACGAUGAGCGAAAGCCUGAUCCAGCCAAGCCGCGUGUGUGAAGAAGGUCUUCGGAUCGUAAAGCUCUUUAAGUUGGGAGGAAGGACAGUAAGUAAAUACCUGACUGUUUUGGCGAUACCAACAGAAGAAGCACCGGCUAACUUCGUG